rnacentral:rRNA from 1 species
UACGGAGGGUGCAAGCGUUAUCCGGAUUCACUGGGUUUAAAGGGUGCGUAGGAGGGCAGGUAAGUCCGUGGUGAAAUCUCUGAGCUUAACUCAGAAACUGCCGUGGAUACUACCGGUCUUGAAUAUCGUGGAGGUGAGCGGAAUAUGUCAUGUAGCGGUGAAAUGCUUAGAUAUGACAUAGAACACCAAUUGCGAAGGCAGCUCACUGCCCGAAUAUUGACUCUGAGGCACGAAAGCGUGGGGAUCAAACAGG